rnacentral:rRNA from 1 species
AGAGUUUGAUCAUGGCUCAGAUUGAACGCUGGCGGCAGGCCUAACACAUGCAAGUCGAGCGGAAACGACACUAACAAUCCUUCGGGUGCGUUAAUGGGCGUCGAGCGGCGGACGGGUGAGUAAUGCCUAGGAAAUUGCCUUGAUGUGGGGGAUAACCAUUGGAAACGAUGGCUAAUACCGCAUAAUGCCUACGGGCCAAAGAGGGGGAUCUUCGGACCUCUCGCGUCAAGAUAUGCCUAGGUGGGAUUAGCUAGUUGGCGAGGUAAUGGCUCACCAAGGCGACGAUCCCUAGCUGGUCUGAGAGGAUGAUCAGCCACACUGGAACUGAGACACGGUCCAGACUCCUACGGGAGGCAGCAGUGGGGAAUAUUGCACAAUGGGCGAAAGCCUGAUGCAGCCAUGCCGCGUGUAUGAAGAAGGCCUUCGGGUUGUAAAGUACUUUCAGCUGUGAGGAAGGGUGUGUAGUUAAUAGCUUCAACGUUUGACGUUAGCAACAGAAGGAGCACCGGCUAACUCCGUGCCAGCAGCCGCGGUAAUACGGAGGGUGCGAGCGUUAAUCGGAAUUACUGGGCGUAAAGCGCAUGCAGGUGGUUUGUUAAGCAAGAUGUGAAAGCCCGGGGCUCAACCUCGGAACAGCAUUUUGAACUGGCAGACUAGAGUACUGUAGAGGGGGGUAGAAUUUCA